GCAUGAACUUUAUUUUCUUUCCAGAUAUGGGAUGCUGUUUGCUGGUAAUUUAAACCAGAGGCCACUACCAUGUAUCUUUCCACAUCCACAGUUCACACAGCACUGAUUCACCCACCGUGCUUGCAGUGAAGAGCAUUAGACUGUCCCUGUGAAAUCAGAGCCACCGGGCAGCACCAGAGCACUCCAGGACCCAGAAGAGCUGCUAUGGCUUCUGUUAGUCCACGUGUGUAUGCAGAGGGGCAUCCCUGCAUGAUUAUUUCCCCCUGAAUGGAUGUUGGUUCCUCUCCUGUACCUGGCAGCGUACCUGUUUCAACUACACAGGAGGAAAGAGGAAGGCUACGGAGCAUCCAGUGAGCUCCCCAAAAUCUUUAUUCGCUCAAUAAGCCUUAGGGAGUCUGAAAGAUUUUAUUAGCCUUAAUUACAUUUUGCUUGGGAUCAUGAGGUCAGUGGGAU
rnacentral:lncRNA from 1 species